UUCAGGGACAGGAACAAGCGAGGACAAGACAGAGAAACAUGAAGAGGUUUCGCAGGGACGAAGACGCGUGGUGAUCAACAUCACCGACAUCAAACGACCACCCCCACCUCAACAUCUGAACAAGUACUUGGCGGCUGACACCCCAAAGGACGACAAACCAUUGCCACCACAUUGACCAUGAAGAUAACUUCAUGGAUGCUGCCCUCCACACUAGGAGGGAAAGACAAGUUGCCCUAGUUAUGUUUGUGUGGUAGUAUCGUAUCUUUAUUUAUUUCAGUCUGUCCUACUACUAGUAGUACUCAAGUCUCGUGUUUCCGCAAUUAGUCUCUCUGUCAUGUUAUUAUUUCAUCAAGCUUGCUGCAUGACACGUCUUGUAAGCAAACAUUAGUUGUAAAAGUUAUGUGUACCUUCAAGUAUCAAUCCUAUUUACCAAUUAUUGGCACGCCCA